GCCAGCCGCCGCGGUAAUACCGGCGGCUCGAGUGGUGGCCACUUUUAUUGGGCUUAAAGCGUUCGUAGCUGGGUUGUUAAGUCUCUUGGGAAAUCUGACGGCUCAACCGUCAGGCGUCCAAGGGAUACUGGCAAUCUUGGAACCGGGAGAGGUGAGGGGUACUUCGGGGGUAGGAGUG
rnacentral:rRNA from 1 species